AACGAACGCUGGCGGCAUGCCUAACACAUGCAAGUCGAACGAAGCCUUCGGGCUUAGUGGCGCACGGGUGCGUAACGCGUGGGAAUCUGCCCUUAGGUACGGAAUAACUCAGGGAAACUUGUGCUAAUACCGUAUGAUGUCGAGAGACCAAAGAUUUAUCGCCUAGGGAUGAGCCCGCGUAGGAUUAGCUAGUUGGUGGGGUAAAGGCCUACCAAGGCGACGAUCCUUAGCUGGUCUGAGAGGAUGAUCAGCCACACUGGGACUGAGACACGGCCCAGACUCCUACGGGAGGCAGCAGUGGGGAAUAUUGGACAAUGGGCGAAAGCCUGAUCCAGCAAUGCCGCGUGAGUGAAGAAGGCCUUCGGUUGUAAAGGACUCUUUUUACCCCGGGUAACGGAGUAAUGACUGUACCGGGA
rnacentral:rRNA from 1 species